rnacentral:tRNA from 1 species
AAGAAAACCUUACGCUGGAACUGCUAACUCCAGCUCCUGGAACUAAUACGUCCAGACUUCUU